UGGUGUUACUGCGAAGGGGGGACGGAGAAGGCUAGGCUAGCCGGGCGACGGUUGUCCCGGUUUAAGCGUGUAGGGGGUGUGACCUGGUAAAUCCGGUUGCAUAUCAACCCUGAGGCGUGAUGACGAUGCACUACGGUGCAGAAGUAGUUGAUGCCCUGCUUCCAGGAAAAGCCUCUAAGCUCCAGGUAACAUUGAAUCGUACCCCAAACCGACACAGGUGGUCAGGUAGAGAAUACCAAGGCGCUUGAGAGAACUCGGGUGAAGGAACUAGGCAAAAUGGU
rnacentral:rRNA from 1 species